UAAUUUCAACGAUAUUUGUUCUACCUUUGAUUCUGGGUUUUAUUUUUCAAUUGCUUUUGUUGCUCAGGUGAUUGUUCUUGUAAUUUUUUUUUCGAACAUGUUAAAUUAGGUUUUCUUGUUUGUUGAUUAUGUGUUUACUUUUUCUGAUCUCAUGUUUACUUUUUGUGGAUGUUGUGUUUACUUUUGAUGAUAUUGUGUUUACUUUUGCUGAUAAUGUCUUUAUAUUUUCGAUUCCUCUAAUUCAUUCACCUUCUUUGCGAUUAUCCUCUUUCAAUUCGCCAGGUACGUAUUCAAGUUUUCAAUUUUGUGUCAUUUAUCGCUAUUUUGAUUCCUUCGCAAUUGUUGAAGUUAGGGUUUCAAGAAUUCUUUGUUUCAACGUUUUAAGUUGCGAUUUGAUUACUAAAAUUAGGGAUUUUCAAAUUUUAAUAAUCAAUUUUUUGAUAGAAAAAUGAGUAUUUGGACCUACUAAUCCAUUAUUCUUCCAGUCAUGAGCUAGUCGAGUGGUUGGCUGGUUUGUGCUACUAUGUAAGUGUUUGCAGGCUGCUUAGAUUUAAUCAAAGAAGUGAAUUAGUAGUCUCGUUUUCUUUUGUUUUUUACUGAACUAGUGUUGUUCUAUUUGUAGUUUAUUAGUUGUGUUUCUUUGUUUACAAAGUGCGAUAUUGUAUGCUAUUUAUCACAAGUCAUCUUUCCUGCAAUUUGGAGUUGAAGAUUGCGGUCUAUGAUCCGAGGAAAAACACCAGUUGUUGUGUUGUUGAUAUAUGUUAUAGUCAGACAGUUGGUAACUGGCUAGGUCAACACUGGUGAACAUGGCCCUUGUUGCUGAUGUCUGAUUCUGUUCAGUUCAUGGUAAAUUUGAGCUAUUAGGUUUUAAGAAAAUAUUUAAGAAAAAAAAAUUACAAUUGAAGUUUCAUUAUUAUCUGUUUACUUUUAGUCUACUUUUAGAGGAAGUUAAUCUAUUUUUAGAGGGAUUUAGUCUACUUUUAGAGGGAGUUAAUCUAAUUUUAGAGGGAUUUAGUCGUACAAUAUCCUAGCUUGUAGAAUAACCACCAUCUGAUGUCUCUACUGCAAAUAACCACCGCCCUUUGAGGUUAACAUUUAUUCCUACUAGAUUUUUUCCCAAUUGUUCUUAAUUUUUUUACAACAGAUGAUUUGUGUAAAUAAUAGCUGGAAGAACUUGUAAGAAGAUAUCAAGAAUUUGAAUUUGUCCAUCUGAUGCUUUCAUCUAGAAUUUGUCGUCCAAAUCAUUCUAUACUUGUGUUUACAUAUCAUAUAACAAUAUUAGCUACAUAAGCCUUUAAUCUCGUAUUGUCCUCCUUUUGCAGUGAAGAAGAAGAUGAGACUAGUCUCUAUUUUGGUGAUGGAAUGAGUUAGACCCUCCAUCGCGUCCUGCUGAUUCAAGACUUCCUUUUGAGUAUUGCUAUGAUAUGAGGUUAGACUUGAUGUGUUAGGUUAAUUUAAACUUCCACAAUGUAUCUCAUGUUCUGACCUUCUGUUAUUUUCCUACAAAAUCGGCAGACCUGAUGCAAAUACAAGUUUAGUACCCACUGUGAUUCUUUCUUUGAAAGGAGGUGGCCAGUUUAGGGUUUAUGAUCCCAUCAUGUCAUUUCAACCCAGGUGGGAAGCUAAUUUUCUCUUUAUAAGCCAUACAUGUAACAAGCUAAAUUCAACUAUUGACUAAGUGCAUUUUUUAUGCUUUUGAACGUAGAUUGAACUGGUAUAUUGUCUUGCUCUGGUCACGGAUUGCCGUCACGGAUUACUCUGUAUUUGAGUGACUACCUUGAUUUCAGAUCCAAUAAUCUCAUAUACACUCCGUAUUGCUUAAAUUUGAGCCGGAUAGAGAACCCAUACUAGAUCAUCGAAUACGGUAUGUUGUGGAUCACAAUAUUGUUCAAAUUCUCCUCUGAUGCUACUGUUAAAGGUUUGACAGGCUUGAGGGUUAUUGUUCAGUAGAUCAGUCUAGUAAUAAGUGCAAGAUUUUGUUUCGUUGGGUGCUAGCAGACAGAUUCAGGCCUUUAAGAAGGAAGUGAAAUUUAGCUCAAGCUUGCAGGCAAAAACAAAUAAAACAGAAGCUUUAUGGUGUUUGUUUUGCUGAAACCAUAUAUGCCUUAUUGACUUUGCAAAAGAGUAGAAUUUUUCAGGCUAGCAAGGAAAACCAACAAACUGUUGUCAGGAGCAUUUUGUUUAAUGUGGCGUGCAGAUGCUCCGAAAAAAUGAGAAGGUUGCUUAUCGUUUGAACACUAAUGUUUUUUUCCCCGUAAGCUCUUGUGUUUUGUUUUGUUGUUUUGGUGAAGCAAUGUUUCAGUUGGGGUGUUGCUUCUAAGAUUUUUAGAUAUUUUUGAGUUAUUAUGAUUUACUUUUGAGAUACUUUGAUUUACUUUUGAGUUUCUUUUGUUUACUUUUGAGUUUUUCUAAAAUGUACUUUUAGGGACAGUAGGAGAGUAACUAGUAGUAAGAAAACUGAGUAAGCUCUGGA